UACGUAGGGGGCGAGCGUUGUCCGGAAUUAUUGGGCGUAAAGGGUUCGCAGGCGGUCUGAUAAGUCAGAUGUGAAAGGCUAUGGCUUAACCAUAGUAAGCAUUUGAAACUGGAUGGCUUGAGGACAGGAGAGGAAAGUGGAAUUCCUAGUGUAGCGGUGAAAUGCGUAGAUAUUAGGAGGAAUACCAGUGGCGAAGGCGACUUUCUGGACUUAAACUGACGCUGAGGAAC
rnacentral:rRNA from 1 species